UGGGUUUAAAGGGAGUGUAGGCGGUUUGUUAAGCGUGUUGUGAAAUUUAGAUGCUCAACAUUUAACUUGCAGCGCGAACUGUCAGACUUGAGUACACGCAACGUAUGCGGAAUUCAUGGUGUAGCGGUGAAAUGCUUAGAUAUCAUGAAGAACUCCGAUUGCGAAGGCAGCAUACGGGAGUGUAACUGACGCUUAAGCUCGAAGGUGCGGGUAUCGAACAGGAUUAGAURCCCUGGUAGUCCGCACAGUAAACGAUGGAUGCCCGCUGUUAGCGCCUGGCGUUAGCGGCUAAGCGAAAGCAUUAAGCAUCCCACCUGGGGAGUACGCCGGCAACGGUGAAACUCAAAGGAAUUGACGGGGGCCCGCACAAGCGGAGGAACAUGUGGUUUAAUUCGAUGAUACGCGAGGAACCUUACCCGGGCUUGAAUUGCAGAGGAAUUAUUUAGAGAUA
rnacentral:rRNA from 1 species